rnacentral:rRNA from 1 species
GACGAACGCUGGCGGCGUGCUUAACACAUGCAAGUCGAGCGGUAAGGCCCUUUGGGGUACACGAGCGGCGAACGGGUGAGUAACACGUGAGUAAUCUGCCUUUGGCUUGGGAAUAACUUCGGGAAAUCGGGGCUAAUGCCUGAUGUUUACUGUCUGCUGCAUGGUGGGUGGUGGAAAGAUUUUUUGGCCAGGGAUGAGCUCGCGGUCUAUCAGCUUGUUGGUGGGGUAAUGGCUUACCAAGGCUUUGACGGGUAGCCGGCCUGAGAGGGUGUUCGGCCACACUGGGACUGAGACACGGCCCAGACUCCUACGGGAGGCAGCAGUGGGGAAUAUUGCGCAAUGGGCGCAAGCCUGACGCAGCGACGCCGCGUGGGGA